UAACGUUAUCGAGAUGUUAAGUUUUAUGGGUGGUGAAUCCCCCUAGCGGAGGGGCGUAAACAGUUAGAAGCGAAUCCUCAGCGCGAGUCACGGUGACUGACCAACGACUUACCGGGAAGCACCCGGCACCACACAUACUGCAUAACCCCCUAAAGGCCUUCCAUUACGGUAGGCCUUUUCUCU
rfam:Klebsiella pneumoniae IS39, WGS project CBWT01000000 data, contig: c10